GAUGAACCACUUCGGUGGGGAUUAGUGGCGAACGGGUGAGUAACACGUGGGCAAUCUGCCCUUCACUCUGGGACAAGCCCUGGAAACGGGGUCUAAUACCGGAUAACACUCUUACGGGCAUCUGUGAGGGUUAAAAGCUCCGGCGGUGAAGGAUGAGCCCGCGGCCUAUCAGCUUGUUGGUGAGGUAAUGGCUCACCAAGGCGACGACGGGUAGCCGGCCUGAGAGGGCGACCGGCCACACUGGGACUGAGACACGGCCCAGACUCCUACGGGAGGCAGCAGUGGGGAAUAUUGCACAAUGGGCGAAAGCCUGAUGCAUCGACGCCGCGUGAGGGAUGACGGCCUUCGGGUUGUAAACCUCUUUCAGCAGGAAAGAAGCGAAAGUGACGGUACCUGCAGAAGAAGCGCCGGCUAACUACGUGCCAGCAGCCGCGGUAAUACGUAGGGCGCAAGCGUUGUCCGGAAUUAUUGGGCGUAAAGAGCUCGUAGGCGGCUUGUCACGUCGAUUGUGAAAGCCCGAGGCUUAACCUCGGGUCUGCAGUCGAUACGGGCUAGCUAGAGUGUGGUAGGGGAGAUCGGAAUUCCUGGUGUAGCGGUGAAAUGCGCAGAUAUCAGGAGGAACACCGGUGGCGAAGGCGGAUCUCUGGGCCAUUACUGACGCUGAGGAGCGAAAGCGUGGGGAGCGAACAGGAUUAGAUACCCUGGUAGUCCACGCCGUAAACGGUGGGAACUAGGUGUUGG
rnacentral:rRNA from 2 species